AUAGUGGCAAGACCCAUAAAGGGAGGAAGUGCAGUUUAACCUUAAUCGAGACAACAACAGGAUGUAGAAGACAUGAACAAUACAUAUACAAUAUAGUGUACAGUCAAACUGGAUGGGCCAGAGGGGGAUAAUGGGAGGGAGGAAAUCAGAAGACAAAAGAAGAUGAGAGAUACUUUGGAGGUGUGACCAGUGCAGGAUAUUGAACAAAAGAACAUGGACCCAUUCCAAAGAGUAUGAAUAUUAUGUAAGUGCGUCUCAGAGAGUGGGUGUGAGGGUGUGCAUUCAACCAAUCAAAUCUUGAUAUAUCUUAAGACACUCCCUUCUUCCAAUGGUAAGACUCCUGAUUGGUCAUAUGUCUGUAAGCUCCAGGUGCAGUAUGACCAGCAAAACAAUAUUUGCACUUGGACGUUUGCUUUAUAUUCGACUCAUGCCUUUUGAUGUGAAGCACAAUCAGAAUUAUCCCAUUUGAAUAAGGAAGCUACAUGCCUGCUUGGAGAUGUCCAAUUUACAGGAAGAGUACUCAGAAAACUUGGACUUGAAACAGCAUGCCUUUGUUUUUGCAAGAACUAGUUAUUUUGUAGCAAGAAACUAGAGAAUACAUUACAUGUAUGUAAUGGACAGGGCAAUCUAGAGUUUGAAAAUGGUAAGUGCCUAUCAAGACUGACAUUGGAAAAAAAUAAUAUAUCAGAGAUGAAGCAUUGCAUGGAAUGGAUCUUGCCAACAUGAUAUCUGGCCUUGAAACUAUAACCCAUCAAUUAGUCCACCAUAACUACAUGUUUCAUGGCAACCCCAACAUGAGUAGAAAUAAACAUCAAUGGAUACUUGGCCAGGACAAACCAACAUCAACAAGACGGACAUCAAUGACAGCAAUGCGCAUUAAUCUGGCCUAUCUGUGCCAUGGAAGAACACAAGUACCAGUCAUACUCUGAACCUUCUGUCUAGUGAGCCAAACAAGAGUAGAUAACAACAUCAACAGAAUUACUUUCCAAGCCCAACCAAUGGGGACAAUAAUGAUAGCAAACUGGAUCUCUCCAUCAAAUUCAUGCCCUUAGAGAUGGUGGGCCUGUCAACCGAUCUACCCAUCUGGUGCUGACCCAUCCACUAGCCACUGUGCUUCUACCAACUUUGGCCAUCUACUAGCCUUGAUCCUUCCUGCAGCCAUGGCCAUCCACAAGCAAUGGCCAAUCCACCAGCUAUGGCCAAUCCACCGGCUACAGCUUAUCCACUAGCAACAUUGGAGGAUCCUCUAGGAAAACACUGCCGAAACGUUUCCCACCAGAGAAGCUACACUUCCUAAGCAUUUAGCAUAAGGUAGAGUAAGUCAAAGACACACAUAAGGAAUAAAAUGCCCUCAUCAGGUCAUACUACUGUCCCACAAAAAUGUCAGCCUGGAUGAAAACAUUCAAUUCAAGGUUCACAAAACUAUGCCAGAAGGAGAUAGGGAUCCAACAAGUAGUCUCUUCCAGCUAGGAUGUCCACCAAGAAGAGCAAAUGUUUUUUUUCAAUAACUAUACCAUACCUUUUCCCCUUUUAUCUGAUGGAAAAAAACUCAUGCAAAGUUGGAUAACACUUCAAUACGAGUUGAAAAAUGCUUGUAUGAUCAGGAUAAAGAAUACAUACCCAUAAAUCAAAUUGCUAUAACUCAUCCAUGGUGUAUUAUGUCACCUGACUCUGCAAACUCUGUUCCAUUAAGCUGACUAAUGUAUCAAGCCUGACUGCCUACCAACCACUCCUAUACUUGUCUAGAUGCAUCACCUUGUACAAUCCAUCCCUUUUCUCUUUACGGUACAACUCCUCAGCUCCUCCAGAACCCUUCUUAUUCUCUUGAUCUCCCUGAAUCUUACUCAAGUACUUAUCCAUUUCUUCUUACAAUACCUCAUCCAUUCAAGAACAAACAAGUAUCACAUCAGCAACAAAAACCAAUGCAAAUAGUGAGCCAAUGACCAUAGUAAAAAAAUAAUAAUAAUCCUCAAAACAACAACAACCAUUAAAAAAACAAGUAUCCCAAUAAUGAAUCACAAUGACGAUUAAAUUUGAAUUUCAUUAAUAGUACAUUACACGCAAUGAAGAAAGGAUUUAAUAAACAAAUGGGAGAAAACGGUUUGCACCGGGUAGUAUCUUAAAACAGUGUAUAGUUAUGUGUUCUUUCCGAUGUUCCAUAAAACCAUGUCUUUGAUGAUGUCCUUUACCCUCCCCUUUUUCAUGUCGACAGCUAAAAAUUCAGUAGCUUCCACAAUAUGGCAACAUCCAGUUCACAAUCAAACAUCAUGUAUGUAUGAGGUAGACUAGAUGAAGCUUGGAAAGAAGCACUUUAUUUGCCAGUCUUUCCAGAGCUAUUGGAAAAGACAUCUCGUCUCGUUCCUUCCAAGACAUCAGCAUGCACUGAGGAUGGUCAAGUUGUCCUCCGUAUUCAUUACUACACACUUCACGGUUCUCUGUGACCACCUCAUGCAUGUGAGAAUUAAGGGCCCUCACUGUUAUUGUGGCUGGUGCUGCAGAAAGUUGUUGAGCCAUCUCUUUAGUGUCAUUCUGUAUAUCAGUCUUCCCUCUCCUCUUCCUAAAUACGACUGCAUCAAACUUUCUCCAAGGCAAUAGAGUUCACUUUUCAUCAAUGUUAUCCUACUCCACCAUAUACAUGUAAGGCUGUCAUUCCUCCUCCAUUCUCUCCUCUUCUAGCUGCAGUCAGUCCUCCUACUAAUGUAUCAGCUCCUCCUCAGCUUUAGCUGCAAUUUUCCUCCCACUCCUGCACAGAUUUUUCCUCAGAUCUAACUGCUAGAUGUCAAAUUCUACCAAUCUUCUGAAGUCAGAUUGAUUUUCUCUUAGCCCUGGAAAAAUCCUGUUGUUACUUUUGUGUUUGUAUAGUAUCAAUAAAAUAUGUCAAACAAAAUGACAAAAAAUAGGUUUUAAUAAAUUAAUGGGAGAAAACAGGUUGCACAAGAUAGUAUCUUAAAACAGUAUAUAAUCAUGUGUUCUUUCCGAUGUUCCUUAAAACCAUGUCUUUGAAGAUGUCCUUUACCCUCCCCUUUUUCAUGUCGACAGCUAAAAAUUCAGUAGCUUCCACAAUAUGGCAACAUCCAGUUCACAAUCAAACAUCAUAUGUAUGGGGUAGACUAGAUGAAGCUUGGAAAGAAGCACUUUAUUUGCCAGUCUUUCCAGAGCUAUUGGAAAGAACAUCUGAUCUUGUUCCUUCCAAGACAUCAGCAUGCACUGAGGAUGGUCAAGUUGUCCUCUGUAUUCAUUACUACACACUUCACGGUUCUCUGUGACCACCUUAUGCAUGUGAGAAUUAAGGGCCCUCACUGUUAUUGUGGCUGGUGCUGCAGAAAGUUGUUGAGCCAUCUCUUUAGUGUCAUUCUGUAUAUUACAGUCCUACCUCUCCUCCUGCCUAAAUGUGACUGCAUCAAACCUUUAUCCAAGGCAAUAGCGUUCACUUUCAUCAUUUCUCCACCAAUCCAGGCUGCCCUUCAUCUCCUCUUCCAUGGCAGCCAUUUCCCCCUAAUCCUGCAUCAGCUCCUCCUCAGUUUUAGCCACCAUUUCUUCUAACUCCCCAUCUUGAAGGUGAAAAACAGGUAGUUCUUGAGACACUUCCACUUGGGACACAGAAUGCAACAGUUCCUCUUCAUCAGAUUCAUUAGUGAUGACCCAAUCUUAACCCUCCUCUUAGUGUAGGAUGCACCUGAUGAUGUCCAUAUCAACAUGGCGACUUGGUGACCAUGCAUGUUGUCUUGGUGCCUCAGUGACAGGUGUCAGGUCGACCCUCAAAUCCCAUUCCAUUUGAGAAACAAUCUUGACAUUAAAUGGAGAAAAGUGGUGCCAACUUAUACUAGUCUUUGCUUUUUUUUCUUUUUUACAUCCACAAAUAUCCGCUCCCAUUUCCUUUUUCAGCACUGACCUAUUACUUUCCUCUAUGAGUAAGGCACAUUCAGCAUUACUGAUGCCCAGAAAAUUGCUCGUCUAUUUCCUACAAUCUUCUAAGUCAGAUUGAUCCCCCUUUGCCUUGGUAAAUUCUUAAUGAUUGAUGUUUUUGUCUAUGUUUAGCAACAUAGCAACAUAUUUAACCCCACUGUAUAGCAAAAUAAUUCCCACAUAAAGUAAAAGAUCUUGGCCCUGCUUCAAAUUCCUGAACUUCUAACACCAUGCCUCUUCCCACUCUUCCAAUGACAUCAUCAUUCAUUGUGGAUAACCAAGCUGCCCUCCACAGUUAUGCAGCCCUUAUAAUUCUUGGUGACUUCUUUGUGCAUGAUAGAAUUAAGGGCCAUCAAUAUUAUCACAUUAGGUGUUGUGGGAAGUCAUCAAGCCCUGUCUUCAUUGUCAUUCCAUAUCACUCCCUUUUUCCAUCUCCUUCCUGCUCCUGCCCUUGUGAAAUACUGACUGCAUCAAUCCUUUUCCUGAGGUUAUGGAGUUCAUUUAUACCAGUCUCUUCCUUCUCCUCCAUCUCAGGCUGCUUGUCAUCCUCCUCCACUUUUCCCCUUCCAUGGCAGCAAAUUUCCUCCUAAUCUUACAAUACCUCUUUCUCAGAUUUAGCUGCCAUUCCCACCCAAUCCUGCAUCAGCUCUUCCCCAGUCUUAGCUGCUAUUUGUCCCUAUCUUGGAGGUGAACAACAGGAAUUUUUUGUGACUUUUCCACUUGAAACACAUCACCCUCUCCUCUUCAUCAGAUACACUAGUGAUGACCCAAUCUUAGCACUCCUCAUAGUGUAGGAUGCGCCUGAUGGAGGUCCAUAUCAACAUGGAGAUUUGUCUGACGGUACAGUGAAUGAAAAGGUGCCCAUGCAUUUUGUCUUGGUGCCUCGGUGGCAAGUGUCAGGUUGGCCCUCACAUCUUGUUCCAUUUGAGAAACAACUGCCUGAAGUUAAGAUGAAGAAAGGUAUUUGGUUUUUUUCUUUUUCACAUCCACAAAUAUCUAUCCUUUUUCAUUAUCAUACACUGUGGAAGACCUAGCUACAUGUCUUCAGAAUUAUAUAUGCAGUCUUCACAAUUCUUGGUGACAUCUUUGUGCAUGAUAGAAUUAAGGGCCAUCAAUAUCAUCACAGCAGGUGUUGUGGGAAGUCACCAAGCCCUGUCUUCAUUGUCAUUCCAUAUCACACCCUUUCCAUCUCCUUCUGCUCCUGUCCUUUUGAAAUUCUGACGGCAUCAAUCCUUUCCCUGAGGUGAUGGAGUUCAUUUAUACCAGUCUCUUCCUUUUCCUCCAUCUCAGGCCGCCUUUCCUUCUCCAUCUUCUCCUCUUCCUUGGUAGCCAUUUCCUCCCAAUCCUGCAUCAGCUCUACCUCAGUCUUGACUGCCAUUUCCUCUAACUCUCCAUCUUAGAGGUGGAUAAUGGGGAGUUGUGACUCUACUGGAAACACAUCAUUCUCUAGCUCCUCAUCAUCAGACUCCGUACUGGUGAUCCCAUUCUUGUCCUCUCUGUAGUGUAGGUUGUGCCUGAUUGGGUCCAUAUCAGCACGGCAACUCGUCUGAUGCUACAGUGAAUAAAAGUGGUUUCCAUGUAUUGCCUCAAUGCAUCCAAGAAAGGCAUUUGAUGUGGCCUACUAGGUCCAUCAUGCUUCUUUCACGAAACAAUGUUCUGAAGUUUAGAUGGAGAAAGGCAGUGUUGAAUUAUGCUUUGUUUUAUAUAUCAUUCAAUAAAAGGUUUGUCUUUUUUUCUUACCGAUAUAAAAACUCACUUCCAUUUUUCGUUUUCGUAUCAGAGGCCCAACAAUCACUUUCCUCUCUGAGAUUGUGCAGCUAUUACCAAUGUUCCAAGGUUAAAUUGAUCCCCCUAAUCCCUGGCAAAAUGUUGAUGUCUUUUCUGCGUUUGCUACUGCGGUACAUACAUGACCCAAUGAAUUUAUUCCUGUGAAACGAUUCCCACAUUCUAGUAGAUGAAAUUCUUUUGAACCGGUUUUAAAAUUUCAUAACUGUUAUGAUGCCCAGCCUCUUCCAGCACCUUUCACUUUAUUCCUAUCAAAGUUCACAUCUUCUACAUGUACACAAAAAAAAAUUAUAUACAUGCACUAAAUGAAUUGAUUCAACAAUUAAAACAUACUCAAAAUCAUGCAAGCCAAAUACUCUAUACUCCAAAAUAAAGAAAUGUAAUGAGCAUUUAAAUUAAAAAAAAACAUGUUAUGGUUUUUAUACACAAAAUAAAAAUGUUAAAAUGAAUAAGAGUGUUCACUGCUAAAACAUAUUUGGGGAAGGUCAAGAAAGCUCCUAGUGAUGUGUAAUCUGUCAUUUUUAAGAUGGCAAACCAAAUAAUUCAUCGUCCACGGGUACUAGCUUCAUAAUGGAGUGUUAAGUGGUGAUUCCUCUGAGAUGCUUGAUGGUUUUCAUCCAGCCAUCAUGGUGUUGUAGGUUGUAGUUGGUGUUUGAUUUUGUAUAUCUAUUGUGAAUACACUUUUCUUAGUAUUUCAGUUUUUCUUUCUAUAUUCAUUUAUGGAAAUAGCUAAUUUUUAAUUCUAUUAUUUUAUAUGAAAUUCAAAUUCUUAUUUGACAGGGAUGUUACAAGAAGACUCUCCACAUUAUUUGAUCUUAUCAGUACAUACUAUAAUUGCAUAUUUUAGAUAACAUUUUUUUUUCAAAAUGGAGUGCUUGAUUAUGACAUGCAUAUGAAUUAAUGUUGAUAAUGAAAAUGAAUAAACUCUCUAGAAUGUACUGAGUAGCAGAAGUAGUACCAUAGUAGCAGUAGUAGUAGUAGCAGCAGCAGUAGUAGUACGUAGGUGGCUAUUACACAAGUGGUACAAGUGUCCUGUUUACCUUUGCUCCUUCCCUUACAUGUAGGUCGUGCAAUCAAUUACUGUGGUCUAAUUACAAGGCAAAGAACUACAAGAUCCAUGCAAUCUAACUGGUACACACAUACACCAACAGACAGACAGACCUACAAUUGAAUAAAGUGCAUUUCAGGAAGCUAUGUGGUUGAUGUACUCAGGUCUCUGUCCAAGACGGCCACUCCCUCUAUCAUCCAAACAAAAAGAUGGGUUUCUAGAUUAGUGAAGUCACCAGAACAAUGCCUCACUUUUAUGAAUAUUUGCAUCCCCUUUGUUUAUUGGGAGUCACCAGGAUUACAUGAAUAAAUAUUUAACUCCUUUUAUAGGACAAUUCUAUGCUGCUGCUAUGAAAAAGCAAAUGUAUAUAAUGUACAAGUAAAUGAGCGCUGUGAUAACAUCAGCUCCUUCCUUUUUUGUACAGACCUUAUGUACUUAUCACUGUUUCGUAAAACUAAGCAAAAAUUGGAAAUGAUAUGAAAUUUCAGGUGUUAUUCUUAUUUGAAUGAUUGAAUCUUCUCUAUUUAUCCAUUUUUUUGUUGGGCUGAACUUCAUCCUUAAAUUAACACUUACUUGUCAUUGA